CUCUGCAUAGAAGUUAAAUAAGCAGAGUGACAAUAUACAGCCUGGAUGUAUUCCUUUCCCAAUUUUUUGUUCCAUAUCUGGUUCUAACUGUUGCUUCUUGCCCUGCAUAUAGAUUUCUCAGGAGGCGGGGAUUAGGGACCAUUUUGUUUCUGUAACAUAACCUUGCUGACCCUGACUGCCUGGACUCAGAGUUGAUGGAGAGACAAGGUUAAAGGCAGAGUCCCAGCCCGCCAAGUGUGCACAGUCGUGUUGGGGACGUCCAACCUGAAUACCAGGGGAGAGUUAAACGAUGAGCCACCAGUCACCAUUCAGAGGCAUGGUGCCAUGGAGCAGACUGAAAACGUUCAGCCCCUGGAAGGACAACAUGACGUGAUCUGAGCAGAAAGCCAGCUCACCAGUGCUGGGACAGCCUGAGGAGGCUUCAUGGAGGAAGCGUGAGGAAGGGGCUUUGAAGGUUCGGGAGGUUUGGGGACAGGGGUCGGGGCAAGAGAUCAAGGAGGUGAGAGCUAAGGAGCCAGGACUGAGCAAAACACGGAGCCCAGAGGGCUGCCUAGCCGGUGAUUUCAUGUGAAACAGGUGUUUUGAGAAAAUGAGAGAGAGAGAAAUAGGCCAUCUGGAAGAGACAUCACAUCUCCUUCCUGCGCUCCCUAUUCUUCCUUUGAAGAAAAAACUGCCUCCAUAAGCUGCGUCAUCAGGAACGACAUUGGUCAAACUGACCUUUGGAGGUUUAAUACUGCUUGUUUUAGUCAAGCAUCCAACUUGACUUGAAAACAAGAGGAAGGUGACUGCAGAUAAAGUCAAAACUAUUGUGGUUUUUCAAAUCCUAUUUGAGUAAUCUCUCCCCACAGCUACAGGCGCUGACCACACUUUCCACUUCUCAUUCAUCCAGUCAGUCAAAGUCAGUCAGCCUGUGAGUGUCUCAACAUCAAUCAAUCUGCCGAUCACUGCCAGUCAUUGUCUGCCAGCCAGUGACGGUCAGUCAGUCAGUCUCUUAAUUAGUGUCUGACAGUCAGUGUCAAUCGU
rnacentral:lncRNA from 1 species